CAUCUGAAUACAUAGGGUGUAAGAAGCGAACGCAGGGAACUGAAACAUCUAAGUACCUGCAGGAAAGGACAUCAACCGAGACUCCGUAAGUAGUGGCGAGCGAACGCGGACCAGGCCAGUGGCAAUGAUGAAUAAAGCGGAACGAUUUGGAAAGGUCGGCCAUAGCGGGUGAUAGCCCCGUACGCGUAGAACAGUCAUUGUCCUUGAGUAGGGCGGGGCACGUGAAAUCCUGUCUGAACAUGGGGAGACCACUCUCCAAGCCUAAGUACUCGUGCAUGACCGAUAGCGAACAAGUACCGUGAGGGAAAGGUGAAAAGCACCCCGACGAGGGGAGUGAAAUAGAACCUGAAACCGGAUGCCUACAAACAGUCGGAGCCCGCAAGGGUGACGGCGUACCUUUUGUAUAAUGGGUCAACGACUUAGUGUAACGAGCAAGCUUAAGCCGGUAGGUGUAGGCGUAGCGAAAGCGAGUCUGAAUAGGGCGUUCAGUUCGUUGCAUUAGACCCGAAACCGAGUGAUCUAGCCAUGAGCAGGCUGAAGGUUGGGUAACACCAACUGGAGGGCCGAACCCAUAACUGUUGCAAUAGUUCGGGAUGACUUGUGGCUAGGGGUGAAAGGCCAAUCAAACUCGGAAAUAGCUGGUUCUCCGCGAAAUCUAUUUAGGUAGAGCGUCGACCGAAUACCCUCGGGGGUAGAGCACUGGAUGGGCUAUGGGGACUCACCGUCUUACUGAUCCUAACCAAACUCCGAAUACCGAGGAGUACUAGUCGGCAGACACACGGCGGGUGCUAACGUCCGUCGUGAAGAGGGCAACAACCCUGACCUCCAGCUAAGGUCCCCAAGUCAUGGCUAAGUGGGAAAGGAUGUGAGGAUCCCAAAACAACCAGGAUGUUGGCUUAGAAGCAGCCAUCAUUUAAAGAAAGCGUAACAGCUCACUGGUCUAAAUAAGGGUCUUUGCGCCGAAAAUGUAACGGGGCUAAAGCCAUGCACCGAAGCUGAGGAUACAACGUAAGUUGUGUGGUAGCGGAGCGUUCCGUAAGUCUGUGAAGGCGGACCCGUGAGGGCUGCUGGAGAUAUCGGAAGUGCGAAUGUUGACAUGAGUAACGAUAAAGGGAGUGAGAGACUCCCUCGCCGAAAGACCAAGGGUUCCUGCUUAAAGUUAAUCUGAGCAGGGUUAGCCGGCCCCUAAGACGAGGCGGACACGCGUAGUCGAUGGGAACCACGUUAAUAUUCGUGGGCCUGGUGGUAGUGACGGAUCUUGUGUGUUGUUCAACCUUAUUGGAUUGGUUGGGCGGCGAAGAGGUUCCAGGAAAUAGCUCCACCGUAUAGACCGUACCCGAAACCGACACAGGUGGUCAGGUAGAGUAUACCAAGGCGCUUGAGAGAACUAUGUUGAAGGAACUCGGCAAAUUGCACGCGUAACUUCGGAAGAAGCGUGACCCUUUUGCACGCAAGUGUGAUGGGGUGGCACAGACCAGGGGGUAGCGACUGUUUAUCAAAAACACAGGGCUCUGCGAAGUAGCAAUACGACGUAUAGGGUCUGACGCCUGCCCGGUGCUGGAAGGUUAAAGGGAGAGGUGCAAGCUUUGAACUGAAGCCCCAGUAAACGGCGGCCGUAACUAUAACGGUCCUAAGGUAGCGAAAUUCCUUGUCGGGUAAGUUCCGACCUGCACGAAUGGCGUAACGACUUCCCCGCUGUCUCCAACAUAGACUCAGUGAAAUU
rnacentral:rRNA from 1 species